rnacentral:lncRNA from 1 species
AUUUUAAAUUAUGUUUCCCCAAAGUAAUUUGAAAAUUUUCUAAAAGAAUCAAAUAAAAUAAAAAAGGAAAAAAUAGGGGAAAAAGACCUGUUAACCUAUGAGAAAGGCCCACACCCAUGGUUUUACUGGGCGUGCUGGCAUGUUCCAUCGUAGACCAUCACAUUUCGUAUGCCUGCACGCCUGUGCAGGCUAUCACAUAAGGCCUGGACGCACGUGCUGCCCGACUACAGAACGUAGCCACACGUAAGGCCAACUUUAUGUGAUCCUUGACGGACGUGUUGUCCCAUCCAUCCCAUCAGCCUGCUGUCGGGCGUGUAUGGCUGUAACAUGGCACACACAUAUAGGGCUGGCUAGUCGGGCACUUGGCAGAUCAACGACCAUGUUUGGUUAGAUCACAUGUGUGACAUCCCAGAUGCUAAUUAAAGCAAAUGGGUGUCAAAUAUAGAUUCAGAAUAACAAGUGCAUGAUAAAAUUUAUACAGUAGAACAAACUUAUUAUAAAUUUCCUACAUAUAUAUAUGAGUUCCAAAUAC